GGUUGAUUAGUCUAGUUAUAAAGAUUUUUAUUUUGAAAAUAAACGAGCAGUGAUAAUUUCAUUGAUCAACUU
rnacentral:tRNA from 1 species